rnacentral:misc_RNA from 1 species
AAGUCGUAACAAGGUUUCCGUAGGUGAACCUGCGGAAGGAUCAUUAACACACAUCCCUUCUCAAACCCCAAACCGUGAAAUGCUGGUGACUCCAGUUGAAACAGUCAACUCAGGGCAAGAUUGCGAAAGGCUUCGUUGUUGUGUUGCGAAGUUGAGUACCUUUCUUGGUCAACACCCUGAUAACCAAACACAUCUUUUUAACCCCUUUAACCCCUUUUUAUUUUAACUGACGUAUGUCUAUCUAGGGCUUCGGCUCUUUAUAGAAUGAAUACGAAACGCUGAACAAUUCUUAGCAAUGGAUGUCUAGGCUCUC